rnacentral:rRNA from 1 species
UACGUAGGUGGCAAGCGUUGUCCGGAUUUAUUGGGUUUAAAGGGUGCGUAGGCGGCCCUGUAAGUCAGUGCUGAAAUACCCCGGCUUAACCGGGGGGGUGGCAUUGAUACUGCAGGGCUUGAGUACAGAUGAGGUAGGCGGAAUUGACGGUGUAGCGGUGAAAUGCGCAGAUAUCAGGAGGAACACCGAUGGCGAAGGCAGGUCUCUGGGCCACUACUGACGCUGGAGAAGCGAAAGCGUGGGGAGCGAACAGG